rnacentral:rRNA from 1 species
AUGUACGAUAAUGUUGUGAUAAGUAUUCGAACAAGUGAUGUCGACACUGAUGACUUCCCGAUUAAGAUAGGACUGCAUCACGGGUCAGCUUUGAGCCCUUAUCUUUUUGCCUUGGUGAUGGAUGAGGUCACAAGGGAUAUACAGGGAGAUAUCCCAUGGUGUAUGCUCUUUGCGGAUGAUGUGGUGCUAGUUGACGAUAGUCGGAUGGGGGUAAAUAGGAAGUUAGAGUUAUGGAGACAAACCUUGGAAUUGAAAGGGUUUAGGCUAAGUAGAACUAAAACCGAAUACAUGAUGUGCGGUUUCAGUACUACUAGGUGUGAGGAGGAGGAGGUUAGCCUUGAUGGGCAGGUGGUACCUCAGAAAGACACCUUUCGAUAUUUGGGGUCAAUGCUGCAGGAGGAUGGGGGUAUUGAUGAAGAUGUGAACCACCGGAUCAAAGCCGGAUGGAUGAAGUGGCGCCAAGCUUCUGGCAUUCUCUGUGACAAGAGAGUGCCACAAAAGCUAAAAGGCAAGUUCUACAGGACGGUGGUUCGACCCGCAAUGUUGUAUGGCGCUGAGUGUUGGCCGACUAAAAGGCGACAUGUUCAACAGUUAGGUGUGGCGGAGAUGCGUAUGUUGAGAUGGAUGUGUGGCCACACGAGGAAGGAUCGAGUCCGGAAUGAUGAUAUACGAGAUAGAGUUGGGUAG